rnacentral:lncRNA from 1 species
CUAAGCCCAAAUUUUGUCCCAACACUAGAGCCGCUUUAUGACACUAGGUUUCACUUGUCCCAACUACAUUACAAGCCCAAUGCCCCUUUAUGACAUUGGCUCAGUAGUAAGCUAAUAGUGUAAGUUUCAAGCCUCUUCAUGGCAUUAUGUAUGGUCCUAUGUCCAACAUGAGAGUUAUGUCUAAAUGCACAUUAUCCCUCUCAUUCUCACUAUAUAAAACAUGCUCUUGAGUCAUAUCUAGAAUGCUAAGCACAUGCAUAAGUCUCACAUGCCACUCUCUACUAUAUAGAGGUCCAAAAUUGCAUUAUAUAUAAUGUAGGUAUUUUAAGC